rnacentral:rRNA from 1 species
GGAUGCUUUCAUACCAGCACUAAAGCACCGGAUCCCAUCAGAACUCCGAAGUUAAGCGUGCUUGGGCGAGAGUAGUACUUGGAUGGGUGACCUCCUGGGAAGUCCUCGUGUUGCAUUCC